rnacentral:tRNA from 1 species
ACUUUUAAAGGAUAGUAGUUAUCCGUUGGUCUUAGGAGCCAAAAAAUUGGAGCAACUCCAAAUAAAAGUA